CAGAUGUCCUGGGGCAGCUAUUCCGACGGACGAAUCAGAGGCAUUUGGCUCAUUGACAUCGAUUAAUGUCUGAUGCCAAGCGAACGAUCUUGAUUAUCUCGUUCGCGUCCUCGUAGCCCCAACUACUCUCCUUCCCUUGCCUGAGACCCGCACCCAACCAUCUCCCCAACCCUGAUCCCUCCUACCUUGGCUAGGACAAACCAUGCGCCGCCGCUCACAAUCACCACAGGAGAAAGCCCACCGAAUCGCCACCCCACCGGAAAAGCUAGAUCGACCGGUCGUUGCCGCAUCGAGGAAUCUGUGAUGUCGUUGCGCAGGUCAUUUAUGUCCCGGUUCCGGUCAUUGCCACAUCGAGGACUCCGCACCGCCAAUGUGGAGCUCGCUUCUGUCUUGAUUCCGAUCGUUGCCGCAUCGAGGACUCCACGCUGCCGUUGCGGAGGUUGCUUUUGUCCCGGUUCUGGUCAUUGUCGCAUCCAGGACUCCGCGUCGCCGCUGCGGAGGAGUGUCGCAUCGAGGACUCCACGCCAUUUCUGUGUAUGUCGUUGUUGUCCUAAUUCCGGGAGCGAUGUGCCCUUGUUUUCAGCGAAGUAACCGCAACAGUGAGCCUCCCAGCACCCGUGCCUCUUUCGACUCGUCGACUCCUCGGCAACAAAUAUGCCUUGUACGUGUCUCAUGUGUACCCAUUAACUAAUUCCCCUCCCCUCGUUCAUUUCUUGGGCUUGUUCUUUUGACACUAAUGGUGUGUUCAGCACAUGGAGCUCGUGUUGUAAAAUGAAAGGUAGAGAGAACCGAGACGAUGAAGGCCGACGCCCAGCUCGAGCAAGAAGUCAGCUCUACUAUUCUAUUUGUCAUUUUAAGAGAUGGUCCAUAUCUUGGAAACUGGAAAGAGACCCAUUACUGAAUGAUAAAUCAACAAUUCUGGUUUCCAUGGUACAGUACAUUAUUUCUAUGUAUUUUCAGCAUGACAUUAGAUGCUUUUUCUAACGAAUCACUCCUUGCUAAGGAUUGUAGGGAUUUUAUUAACAAAUCACCAUUCCAGCUUAUAAAAUUAGAAUGAUUUGAUCUUGGCAAUGGCUAGGAUAGUCAACUGGUCGCUUCUAGAGAAAGAUGAAGAGGCUCGAUGCAGCGCUGCGGGCGGGGAUGGCUUGAUGCAGCCAAGGGAUCCUUCCAUAGGAAUACACACGGUCUCCGACAGCCACGGCAACGGCAAACCAGAGCGGAUCGCCAAGGGCCCUUCCUAGAGGAAUGCACACGUUGUCUGGCAGCCAUGGGUGAUGCGUAGGUCGCUAAUUCGUCUUUCCCGUUCAUCCUGUCGUUUCUCUUUCAUACCCCUCCUCUUCCCCUACUUAUCCAUCUAAUGUAGAAUAUUGAUUGUUUUCAUACUAUACUUUGUACUCA